UUCUCGAUUUAGUCAAUCAGUCAAUCAGUCAAUCGGUCAGUUUAUCUGUUUCCUAUUAUCCAGAGUAUUAAGCUCUAUAAUGUCGCUCAUCGCCCGAUCGUGAUCAUUUCAAAGUAACCUUCUAUUUGCUUACCGAUUUUCGUCUAUGUAAUCGCGAUCUUUAUAGUCAAACUAGUAGUUCGAUUAGGUGCGAAACAUUCUAUACACUACGUUGAGUUAUAGGAUUAAAAUCACCAUAUUUCUUUUUUUUUCUGUCCUUUUAUUUAUUUCGCUAAUAGACUUUUAAUAGACUGACCGACCGACUUCCGAUUCUGUAUAGCGUGCCAUUGGCAAAUUAAUCUCGUCUGAAAAGACUGCCUCUCUCUUCGAAGAUUAAUUUAUGUUUUUGUGUUGAGCAAUUUGUCAUUCGUUCUAUUCAAAGCUUUUGAAAGCAGCAAACCGUUUUAUAUAUAAUCGUGUGUUUAUUACUUAAUACCGGCGGUCGUUUAGGUCAACAAGUAUUACACGGAAGAAUAUCUAAACUGACUAUAAUAUAUUAUGUAGAAAAAUUUGUUUCGUUCCGAUCGAAUUACCAAGUCAAAUACUAGAUCGUGAGAACUAUAUUGUUGAAUUGUAGCUAUUUUAUACGACGAAGGAAAAAAUAGUCUUUACUUCAAGGGCCUGUUCCACUAUAACGCGCGUUUAAUAUGUGUGUAAGAAAGGCGCCAACUCACUUGGAUAUAUAGGCCCAUAGAUGGACGCGAAUGGGACGUGUUGUAUACAAACGGUGAAUUUAUUGACACGGCAGUAAAGUGGGAACAGUUUUUUUUGUCAAAUUCACGCGUUAUAUGAAAAGCGAAGGAUUUUCUCUUUUUAUUGUUUAAUUUGUUUAUCAUCUCCUAUUAUUCUACAAAUAUUUUUUCUAAGAAUGUUAAAAUAUGGAGGAGAGAAAGAGAAAGCGCGCGUAAAAAAAGUAAGGAAAGCUCCAGUGGUGUUCAAUUUCGGAGAGAAGGGCAGUUUCGCGUUUCGAAAGUUGGUAACAAAGGUGCCUUAUGAUUACGGAGGGUAGGAUAAGGUGCAGAUGGCGGAUGCGUGUAGAAGGCGAAAGUGAAUCUGUUACACAACAGUCGCCUAGAAAAAAUUGACGGCUCAAAUGAGAAACAUUUAGCACGAGAUAAUUUCCUGAAAGCGAAAGGUUCUUGUAUGAACAAGCCAUGCAUUUUUAAAUGAGAAAAGGCGCGCGCAGGUGGGCGGUGCCUUUGUGACGACGUCGCUCACUACCGGUACCUGCAUUAAUUAUGGAGACGCUCGUAAUUAACUCAACUAGUAAUUGAGUGUACUGUCAGCGGCGUCACGAAAGCGUCGAAAGUAACUGACGUAACUAUUGUCGUGAUUUGCUACGACGUCUCCUGUGACGUCCACUUACGGCGUUCGGUGACAGUUGGCCGAUGCAUCUUCCCACUAUUGCAUCAUAGUCCGUAAUUGUAGAGUUAAUGAAAAAGUGUCAGCGUGAGUUAUGGAGUUUUCGCCAUGCUAGAUGGCGUAAAAAAUUUGAAUUUAAAUAACCAUUAAGAAUUCUUUAAUGAGGGGGGGUAACCUAGAGGGGGUGGGUGGCGAUUCUAGGUUUGCUUUCUUGCAUGGAUUUUUUCGUACCAGAACAUCAAAGCAUGUCGAAUGUAAUUGAAAACGUGCUGGAACGGAACAAAUUCAUAUCGUCUGUUUUCUUUUCGCAACUCGGUUUUUACUCGACAGUUUACCUAAAAUUUCCAAAAGCGUCUAAAUAUUUGCCUAACACGUUCAGGUCGAAUCCUUUUGGAUGUUCCGUGCAAAGUUUGUCGUGAUCACUCCAGCGGAAAGCAUUACGGAAUUUACGCAUGUGACGGGUGUGCCGGAUUUUUUAAGCGCUCCAUUCGACGCAAUCGCCAAUAUGUAUGUAAAUCAAAAAGUCAGGGCGAAUGCCCAGUUGAUAAAACUCAUAGGAACCAAUGCAGAGCUUGCCGAUUACGAAAAUGCCUAGAAGCCGGUAUGAAUAAAGAUGCUGUACAACAUGAACGAGGACCUCGUAAUUCAACUAUACGCCGUCAGAUGGCUCUCUAUGUUAAAGAAAAGGCCGAAGCAACAACUAGGGUUCUUCCGCCGAGUGCUCCUGCACCUCCUAUUCCAACUUUGUCGGCGGCUUCUCCUGUUCCAAUUACGCCCAUGUCGCAACCGGCCCUUUUAUCUGCAGCCAUACAUUCGGGAAUGCUAAUUCCGCAACGAUAUCCUCCAGAACUGAUUACGGCAGCCUAUUUAGCCAAUCCGGAGGCUGUUUGCGAAACGGCGGCUAGACUCCUCUUUAUGUCAGUUAAAUGGGUAAAAAAUGUGCCAGCGUUCGUUGGUCUUGCAUUUAAAGAUCAAGUAACGCUCCUCGAGGAAGGUUGGAGGGAAUUAUUUGUUUUAGGCGCUGCUCAGUUCCUUAUGCCAGUUGAUCCUCAAUCUUUAUUAGCCACGUCACCCCUUUCCCGUGAAGAUGGUUCAUCAUCCGAAGCUUUCAAUCAAUUAUCAAGCGAAUUAAAAUCAUUGAAGGAGAUUAUUGACAAAUUAAAAGCAAUGCAAGUUGACCAAACUGAAUAUGCUUGUUUAAAAGGCGUCGCUCUUUUCAAAACUUCUAUUGAAGAAGGUCGGUCGCUUCUUGAUGUUCCUUCGAUUGCCUCUUUGCAAGAUCAGGCUCAACUCACCCUUAAUAAGUAUAUUCAAACCGCCUAUCCUACUCAACCGUCUCGAUUCGGUAAGCUUCUCCUACUCUUACCAAAUCUGAAGAAUGUAUCUUGCACCACCAUCGAACAAGUCUUCUUUAAAAGAACAAUCGGAGCCGUGUCUAUGGAGAAAAUUAUUAUAGAUAUGUACAAAUCACCGGACUUUUAAAAAGUUCAUUGUUAUUUCGUACAUAAAAAAUUAAUGAAUGUUUAAAAAAUGAUCAAAAUUGAAAAAUAGCAAACGUCUGGCCAUAAAUGCUUGCCUGAUCACAGAAAAGAAUUUUCUCUAUUCUAUUUCUUUUUAUUGCAAAAUUGUAUUUAUCACAUCUGUAUUGUAGACGUAUAGUUUUAUAUAAAUACCACACUAUGGCAGGUAUAUCUCAUUUAUACAUAUACACUGUAUAUAUGUAUAUAAGAAAUAUAUCUAGUAGUGCAUUUACAUGUACAUAACGCGAUGGAGUUUAUUGAAUAGACAUAAACAGACACCAUAUGCUUAAACAUGUACAUGUAUACAUCUGUAUAUACAUAUUUAAUAAAUAUAUAAUAUGGUAUUAAGUGUUUACACGUUUAUCGUCUUUUUUUUUAAAAAAAAAGGGCAAUUAUGGGAUUCUUUUUGACUAGGGUGUAAAUCUAUUUGCAAUGCAUUUUAUAUUUGAGCUUCAAAACUGUUACUUUUACUUUUAUUAUUUUUUUUUGCACUGCUAUAAAAUCUUAAUUUUUAAUAUAAAGUAUAUUCUUUUGAUGUAUAUGGAAUUUCACCGUUUUUACUAUUAUUUCUACUUGUUUUUUUUUUGGAGAAUAUAAUUUUCGAAUGUAAAAUUUCGAAGGAAUGUAAAAAGCGUGGCAAUUUCAACGCAUGAAACUUUAAACGUCAAACCGGACGGCGUUUGCGUGUUGAGUAUCAAAAGCAUUUUAAAAGCAUUUCUUUAUAAAUUAUGUAAGGCAUUCCCAAAAAAAGGCUGUCGA
rnacentral:misc_RNA from 1 species